AUGCCCAGAACCUCACAAUGAGGUGCUUUGUGAGCCUCAUGCCAAGGUUAAUUUGGCACCUUCUUCCCAGAGAGCAUGUGCAGACUGUGACAGGCUUUCAAAGAAGCCACUGCCCACAUGUGCUCUCUUGCUUUCUUAUUGGUGUUCAGGAGGAGAGGGCCGGUUCCUCUCCAGAAAGCUGGGUGCUAUGACAGAUGAGACUUUUAUGCAAGAAAACAAAUCCUACACCUUUGAUGUACUGCUUGAAACUUAAAGAUCUCUUUGGACAUGAAAUUGUAAGUAUCCUCUGCAGUAUGUAAGUCUCUAAUUUUGGUGAAGUCCAAUUUAUCUUGCUCAUGUGUUUUUGGUGUCAUACCUAAGAAACUAUAGCCUAAGGAGAUGAGCUGCUUUCCUCUGCUACCCUGAAGUCUGUGUGGUUCCGUCUUUUUUCCAAGAAAAUCAAAUGGUUUUACAUGAGAUUGAAUCUUUCUAAAGAGUUAUAUAUAUGAUUCCUUUUACAACUAGAGACAUCAAAGUCAAGAACGGCCUGGUCCAACAUCUGUGAAAUGCAAAAAUAUUUUAAGUCAGAUAUUUUUAAGAGAUGAAAAAAUUCUUAAAGCUAAAUUUUACUCUAAAUUUUUCAUUUUCUAUUUAGGUUG
rnacentral:lncRNA from 1 species